CGAACGGGUGAGUAAUACAUCGGAACGUGCCCAGUCGUGGUGGAUAACUACUCGAAAGAGUAGCUAAUACCGCAUACGAUCUGAGGAUGAAAGCGGGGGACCUUCGGGCCUCGCGCGAUUGGAGCGGCCGAUGGCAGAUUAGGUAGUUGGUGGGAUAAAAGCUUACCAAGCCGACGAUCUGUACCUGGUCUGAGAGGACGACCAGCCACACUUGGACUGAGACACGGUCCAGACUCCUACGGGAGGCAGCAGCC
rnacentral:rRNA from 1 species